rnacentral:rRNA from 1 species
AUGACCGGAUCACACAAUGAUACCAACAUGCUUCAACAUUCGCCUGUGUUUGCCAGGCUUGCCGAAGGCAACAGCCUGCCGGUCAAUGUUAACAUCAACGGUCACAAUUACAACAAAGGAUACUACCUAGCUGCUGGAAUCUAUCCUCAAUGGACCACUAUUAUGAAGACAGUCUCCAACCCUGUUGAAGAGAAGAGGAAAAGAUUUGCCCAGGAGCAAGAGAGUGCUAGGAAGGAUGUCGACCAUGCCUUUGGUGUUCUGCAAUCUCGAUGGGGCAUAGUUCGAUAUCCUGCUAGAACUUAG